rnacentral:rRNA from 1 species
ACGGAAGGCAGCAGUGGGGAAUAUUGGACAAUGGGGGAAACCCUGAUCCAGCGACGCCGCGUGAGUGAAGAAGUAUUUCGGUAUGUAAAGCUCUAUCAGCAAGGAAGAAAAUGACGGUACUUGACUAAGAAGCUCCGGCUAAAUACGUGCCAGCAGCCGCGGUAAUACGUAUGGAGCAAGCGUUAUCCGGAUUUACUGGGUGUAAAGGGUGCGUAGGCGGCACGGCAAGUCAGAAGUGAAAUCCCAGGGCUCAACCCUGGAACUGCUUUUGAAACUGUCGAGCUAGAGUACAGGAGAGGUAAGCGGAAUUCCUAGUGUAGCGGUGAAAUGCGUAGAUAUUAGGAGGAACACCAGUGGCGAAGGCGGCUUACUGGACUGACACUGACGCUGAGGCACGAAAGCGUGGGGAGCAAACAGGAUUAGAUACCCUGGUA